CCUACGGGUGGCUGCAGUGAGGAAUAUUGGUCAAUGGACGAGAGUCUGAACCAGCCAAGUAGCGUGAAGGAUGACUGCCCUAUGGGUUGUAAACUUCUUUUAUAUGGGAAUAAAACGUUCCACGUGUGGGAUUUUGUAUGUACCAUAUGAAUAAGGAUCGGCUAACUCCGUGCCAGCAGCCGCGGUAAUACGGAGGAUCCGAGCGUUAUCCGGAUUUAUUGGGUUUAAAGGGAGCGUAGGUGGAUUGUUAAGUCAGUUGUGAAAGUUUGCGGCUCAACCGUAAAAUUGCAGUUGAAACUGGCAGUCUUGAGUACAGUAGAGGUGGGCGGAAUUCGUGGUGUAGCGGUGAAAUGCUUAGAGAUCACGAAGAACUCCGAUUGCGAAGGCAGUUCACUGGACUGCAACUGACACUGAGGCUCGAAAGUGUGGGUAUCAAACAGGAUUAGAGACCCCAGUAGUC
rnacentral:rRNA from 1 species